UACAGAGGUCUCAAGCGUUGUUCGGAUUCAUUGGGCGUAAAGGGUGCGUAGGUGGCGGGGUAAGUCUGAUGUGAAAUCUCCAAGCUUAACUUGGAAAUGGCAUUGGAAACUACUCUGCUCGAGGGUUGGAGGGGGGACUGGAAUGCUUGGUGUAGCAGUGAAAUGCGUAGAUAUCAAGCGGAACACCAGUGGCGAAGGCGAGUCCCUGGACAACUCCUGACACUGAGGCACGAAAGCUAGGGGAGCAAACAGG
rnacentral:rRNA from 1 species